GACGAACGCUGGCGGCGUGCUUAACACAUGCAAGUCGAACGGUAAGGCCCCUUCGGGGGUACACGAGUGGCGAACGGGUGAGUAACACGUGAGCAACCUGCCCUUGACUCUGGGAUAACAGUUGGAAACAGCUGCUAAUACCGGAUGUUCACCUUUCCCUGCCUGGGGUUUGGUGGAAAGUUUUUCGGUCAAGGAUGGGCUCGCGGCCUAUCAGCUUGUUGGUGAGGUAAUGGCUCACCAAGGCUUCGACGGGUAGCCGGCCUGAGAGGGCGACCGGCCACACUGGGACUGAGAUACGGCCCAGACUCCUACGGGAGGCAGCAGUGGGGAAUAUUGCACAAUGGACGGAAGUCUGAUGCAGCAACGCCGCGUGCGGGAUGACGGCCUUCGGGUUGUAAACCGCUUUCAGUAGGGACGAAGCUUACGUGACGGUACCUACAGAAGAAGGACCGGCCAACUACGUGCCAGCCGCCGCCGUAAAAC
rnacentral:rRNA from 1 species